rnacentral:rRNA from 1 species
CCUACGGGGGGCAGCAGUGGGGGAUAUUGCACAAUGGGGGAAACCCUGAUGCAGCGACGCCGCGUGUGGGAAGACGGUCCUCUGGAUUGUAAACCACUGUCCCCAGGGACGAAGAUGACGGUACCUGGGGCGGAAGCUCCGGCUAACUACGUGCCAGCAGCCGCGGUAAUACGUAGGGGGCGAGCGUUGUCCGGAAUUACUGGGUGUAAAGGGAGCGUAGGCGGGACUGCAAGUUGGGUGUCAAAUCUACCGGCUCAACCGGUUGCCGAACUCAAAACUGCAGUUCUUGAGUGAAGUAGAGGCAGGCGGAAUUCCUAGUGUAGCGGUGAAAUGCGUAGAUAUUAGGAGGAACACCAGUGGCGAAGGCGGCCUGCUGGGCUUUUACUGACGCUGAGGCUCGAAAGUGUGGGGAGCAAACAGGAUUAGAUACCCCAGUAGUC